GAAAUGCGAUAAGUAAUGUGAAUUGCAGAAUUCAGUGAAUCAUCGAAUCUUUGAACGCACAUUGCGCCCGCCAGUAUUCUGGCGGGCAUGCCUGUUCGAGCGUCAUUUCAACCAUCAAACCCCGCGCUUGUGUUGGGGACCUGCGGCUGCCGCAGGCCCUGAAAACCAGUGGCGGGCUCGCUGUCACACCGGGCGUAGUAGAUUUUAUCUCGCUCAGGGCGUGCUGCGGGUUCCGGCCGUUAAAAAGCCUUUUUUACCCAAGGUUGACCUCGGAUCAGGUAGGAAGACCCGCUGAACUUAAGC
rnacentral:misc_RNA from 1 species